rnacentral:tRNA from 1 species
AAUUUAAGAUUCAAAUAUAAAGUAUUUUUAAACUUUUAUUAAAA